rnacentral:rRNA from 1 species
GCUAAGAAUAUUCCGCAAUGGACGAAAGUCUGACGGAGCGACGCCGCGUGGAUGAAGAAGGCCGAAAGGUUGUAAAAUCCUUUUGCCGAUGAAGAAUAAGUGUGGUAGGGAAUGACCGCAUGAUGACAUUAGUCGGUGAAUAAGCCCCGGCUAACUACGUGCCAGCAGCCGCGGUAACACGUAGGGGGCAAGCGUUGUUCGGAAUUAUUGGGCGUAAAGGGCAUGUAGGCGGUUUCGUAAGCCUGGUGUGAAAUCCUGCAGCUUAACUGUAGAAUUGCAUUGGGUACUGCGAGACUUGAAUCACGGAGGGGAAACUAGAAUUCCAGGUGUAGGGGUGGAAUCUGUAGAUAUCUGGAAGAAUACCGGUGGCGAAGGCGGGUUUCUAGCCGAUGAUUGACGCUGAGGUGCGAAAGUGCGGGGAGCAAACAGGAUUAGAAACCCGAGUAGUCC